CACCUCUUAGGGUCGUACUUGGAGAGUUUCAAGUACUCUACCAGUUUCGACUACGGGAGGGAGAGUCAAGCAGAGGCCUACCCUUUCCAUUCUUAGCUCAGCCAGCGGCUAGCGAAUGGAAGACAAUCUGCUACAGGU